AACGAACGCUGGCGGCGCGCCUAAUACAUGCAAGUCGAGCGAGAAGACGUAGCAAUACGUUUGUAAAGCGGCGAACGGGUGAGGAAUACAUGGGUAACCUACCCUCGAGUGGGGAAUAACUAGCCGAAAGGUUAGCUAAUACCGCGUACGCUCCUUGGACUUCGGUUCAGGGAGGAAAGCGAUACCGUGGGUAUCGCGCUCUUGGAUGGGCUCAUGUCCUAUCAGCUUGUUGGUGAGGUAACGGCUCACCAAGGCUUCGACGGGUAGCUGGUCUGAGAGGACGAUCAGCCACACUGGCACUGCGACACGGGCCAGACUCCUACGGGAGGCAGCAGUGAGGAAUAUUGCGCAAUGGGCGAAAGCCUGACGCAGCGACGCCGCGUGGGGGAUGAAGGUCUUCGGAUUGUAAACCCCUUUCGGGUAGGGAAGAUGGGACGGGCGAACCGUUCGGACGGUACCUCCAGAAGCAGCCACGGCUAACUUCGUGCCA
rnacentral:rRNA from 1 species